GGGAGGCCCAGACUUCCCUCUCCCCAGCCACUUCUUCCAGCUCCUCCUGGGGAAUCCCAAGGCGUUCCCAGGCCAUCCAGGAAUCAACCUUGAUUCAACCAUUGCCUUAAUGUUAAUAAUGAAGUCCAAUCCUUUCUGGGUGUGCCGGGAUGUGAGACUGGGCGCCUUCCACGAUUGGUGGACCAAUUUACAGCUGAAACGCCUCUGAAGCCUCGCGUGCCUGUCGGGGUUUCCUAUCGAGCUGCGCCGGCUCUACAUCUGGACACACGCAGAAACUGAUUUGAGACUUUUCAAGAUUCCACGGGAACAUGGGCUUCCAUUACACCUCAGCAGAAACAGGCUGAUCUCCUCCAUGCCAUGCUGCAUUCAUGCAAAAGGAGCCCCAAUCAAGUACUCAAGUGUUGUGAUGGCCAAAUCCAUGGCCACACUUGAAGUCCGAAGUCGGUAACUCUUUUAUGCAUAAUUUAGUUUUCACAAUUUAUUUUUUCACACACUAUAGUUUCAGUAAAACAUUUAUUAGAUUUGGAUACAUUUGUUCUUUUUGUUA